rnacentral:lncRNA from 10 species
UGUAUCAGCCAACACCUCUCCUGUGCACCUAUGGCAGACAUCAUUAAUCCAUCAAGGCACUCUCCUGUUUAGCCCAGUCCCUGCUUCAGAGCUCUUCUCAGUAUUGUGACCCAGACAGCGGCUACCCAUCAACCAGACUGCCACACAGGACAGAAGUCUAGAUUAUUACAUAAUCCAUCUUGAGAAUUUAGAAGAAUAAUAUCGCCCUCGUGCCUGGCUUAUAUAGAAAAAGGGACAGCAAGAAGACAGAUAAAGUGGAGCACAGAAAGAAGGAUGAAAUGAAAAUUAUUUGUCUAUUUUAGACAAGCAAUUUUCUCUAAUGUUCUGUUCUCUUGUUUGGUUGUUCUAGUGAGAGCUCAAGGACCUUUUAAGGUGGAACGAAUCUGGGGGUUGUUCUGGGGGAGGCAGUUAGCCUUGGGUACCUGGAAAUAUGGGUAGGAAAAGCUGGGAACAGAGCCCAGGAGGAACCAAGUGUCCAAUGCCAACACCUGGGCCCAGAGGCCCCACUGCACACCCCACCUGGCCCUGGAAGGGAGAGGACAGAUAAAAUUCGGAGAUUUCAUCAUGUCAGACGUGGAGUUGGGUUCUUU